AUACUGUUGUUUUUCUUCAGGUUGCAUAAAUCUUUUGCCUUUUACUAAAGAUUUCCAUGGAGAGGAACAACUCUUGAGUUUUUAACUGAUUUCUUGAGGCUUUGCUUUGGCAGGGUU
rnacentral:snRNA from 1 species